rnacentral:rRNA from 1 species
GACGAACGCUGGCGGCGUGCUUAACACAUGCAAGUCGAACGAAGAGCGGUGGACUCUUGCUUCUAUCAAUCUUAGUGGCGGACGGGUGAGUCACGCGUACUCAACCUGCCCUUCAGAGGGGGACAACAGUUGGAAACGACUGCUCAUACCGCAUACGAUCUAAUCUCGGCAUCGAGGAUAGAUGUAAGGUGGCCUCUACAUGUAAGCUAUCACUGGCGGGGGGGAUUGCGUCUGGUUAGCUAGUUGGAGGGGUAACGGCCCACCAAGGCGAUGAGCAGUAGCCGGGCUGAGAGGAUGAAAGGCGACAUAGUGACUGUGAGACGGCCCAGACUCCUACGGGGGGCGGCAGUGGGGAAACUUCCGCAAUAGACGAAAGUCUGACGGAGAGACGCCGCGUGAGUGAGGACGGCCUUCGGGUUGUAAAGCGCUGUUAAUCGGGACGAAAGGCCUUCUUGCGAAUAGCGAGAAGGAUUGACGGUACCGGAAUAGAAAGCCACGGCUAACUACGUG